rnacentral:misc_RNA from 1 species
CACCCGUCUUUUGAAAUACAGAGUUUACAGUCCCUCAUAGCUUAAUGCAAUUGUGGCAACAACGCCCCACUAAAACCCUAAAGAACAUUUUCUUUAGAAAUCUUGUCCAAUUGCUGAAAUUCACUCAACCACAGCCAAUAAAUCACCAGCUUUGCAAAAGCAGUGACUAGCAUCCGUUCCCAAAUCAACCUCAUAGGCAUUUAUGUCUGAGAAAAGAACCUUCUU